AGGAGGCAGAGGCAGGCAGAUCCCUGUGAGUUCGAAGCCAGCCUGGUCUACAGAGCGAGUUCCAGGACAGCUUCCAAAACAAUACAGAGAACCCCUGUUUCGAAAAAAAAGUAAAUAAAAGCAAAGAUUAAACCUUGGACCUUUUGCAUGAUGAACUAACUAGAAAACCUCUAAGAGAACUUUAGCUAGAAACCCUGAAGCCAAACGAGCUACCUAAAAGCAAUGUUGUGAAUGAACCUGUCUAUGUACCAAUAUAGUGGAAAGACUUCUAGGUAGAGGUGAAAAGCCUAAUGAGCUUGGUGAUAGUUGGUUACCCAAUAAAGAAUUUCAGUUCAACUUUAAGCCAGCCAUAAGAAGUUAUAAUCUAAAUAUAAGCUUAAAAUAAAGCCUAAAGAAGGACAGCUCUUUAGGAAUGGAAAUAACCUCAAAUAGUGAAUAAGAUAAUAAACAAGAAACCAUAGUUGGCUUAAAAGCAGCCACCAAUAAAGAAGGCAUUCAAGCUCAACAUCCAAAGACCACUAAUACCUAAAAUCAUAUAGUCGUAAUUGGGUUAAUCUAUUUUUAUAUAGAUGAGAUACUGUUAGUAUGAGUAAUAAGAAUUACAUUCUCCAUGCACAAGCCUAUAAUAACCCGGAUAACCAUUGUUAGUUAACGUCCAUACAAGUACAUUAGCCCCCUAUAAAAAGUAUUUGCUAUAUAAUGUUAGUUCAACACAGGUAUGCUCAAAGGAAAGAUUAAAAAAUUAAAAGGAACUCAGCAAACAUGAAUCCUGCCUAUUUACCAAAAACAUAACCUUUAGCAUUACAAGUAUUCGAGGCAAUGCCUGUCUGGUUACUGAGUUAAACAGCUGCAGUAUCCUGACCGUGCAAAGGUAGCAUAAUCACUUGUUCCUUAAUUAGGGACUAGAAUGAAUGACUAAACGAGGAUUCAACUGUCUCUUAUUUCUAAUCAGUGAAACUGACCUCACCUUGAAGAGGCGGGAAUACAACAAUAAGACAAGAAGACCGUAUGGAGCUUUAAUCUCAUAAUUAGUUUUUACAACAAAUAACCUACUGGCUAUAAAACAUUAAAACAUAAAUUACAGAUUUCGGUUGGGGUGACCUCAGAGAAUAAGAAAACCUCCGAAUAAGCCGAAGCACCUAUGGUCUCAUUGACCCAAAACAUAUUUGAUCAACAGACCAAAUUACCCUAGGGAUAACAGCGCAAUCCUAUUCAAGAGUUCAUAUUGACAAUUAGGCCUUACGAUCUCAGUGUUGGAUCAGAGCAUCCCAAUGGUGCAAUAGCUAUUGAAGGUUCGUUUGUUCAACGGUUAAAGUCCUACGUGAUCUGAGUUCAGACCGGAGUAAUCCAAGUUGGUUUGUAUCUAUUGAUGAUUUCUCCCAGUAUGAAAGGUCAAGAGAAAUAGAGCCUCCUUA
rnacentral:ncRNA from 1 species